rnacentral:rRNA from 1 species
GACGUAGGUGGCAAGCGUUGUCCGGAUUUACUGGGCGUAAAGAGCGCGCAGGCGGUCGUUCAAGUCGCGUGUGAAAGCCCCCGGCUCAACUGGGGAGGGUCACGCGAUACUGAUCGACUCGAAGGCAGGAGAGGGUAGUGGAAUUCCCGGUGUAGUGGUGAAAUGCGUAGAUAUCGGGAGGAACACCAGUGGCGAAGGCGACUACCUGGCCUGUUCUUGACGCUGAGGCGCGAAAGCUAGGGGAGCAAACGGG